CGAUUUUUACGCAAGAACAACUAGGCGUCGCUAAUAUGCACUCGUACAUCCGGUUGUUGCAUGACAGAGUGUUGCGCGGGACUGCAUUGUCAAACAGAUUCCGUUUCGUGUCUUCCGCCCAUUGCAGCGGAAUGACAAUUGCUUCGGAACCGGAAUCAGUUAGACAGCGCUUAGUCGAUAGAUUCAUGUCAUCCGGCAAUACAGAAAGUCUGAUUCUUUGGGCGUAUAAUACCCGACCAGUAGGAGCACACUGGUUGUUGCUUGCUAUCAACC